UCAGCCCGUGCUGAUCCUUUAGCCUUCUUUGGAUGCUCCUUGGCACGGGCAUUGGAACGGCCGUGCUUCCCAGCACGGCUAGGGGUUGUGUCCCGUGCUGCCUUCGGAAGCCGUGACAAUUGCUCUUUAUCCUUCAACACGGUCUUGACUCUGGCCGUGCUCAUCAGCACGGCCUGGUGAUGCAGCCCGUGAUGGCCACGGAAACCGUGGUGAAACGGAGUUUUUCUGGGCUUGCCUUUUGCCGACUCG
rnacentral:lncRNA from 1 species